CACGUAGGGUGCGAGCGUUGUCCGGAAUUAUUGGGCGUAAAGAGCUCGUAGGCGGUGUGUCGCGUCGGCCGUGAAAACCUGCAGCUUAACUGUGGGCUUGCGGUCGAUACGGGCAUCACUGGAGUUCGGCAGGGGAGACUGGAAUUCCUGGUGUAGCGGUGAAAUGCGCAGAUAUCAGGAGGAACACCAAUGGCGAAGGCAGCUCGCUGGGACGGUUACUGACGCUGAGACGCGAAAGCGUGGGGAGCAAACAGG
rnacentral:rRNA from 1 species